rnacentral:rRNA from 1 species
UACGUAGGUGACCAGCGUUGUCCGGAUUUACUGGGCGUAAGGAGCGCGCAGGCGGUCGUUCAAGUCGAGUGUGAAAGCCCCCGGCUCAACUGGGGAGGGUCAUUCGAUACUGAUCGACUUGAAGGCAGGAGAGGGAAGCGGAAUUCCCGGUGUAGUGGUGAAAUGCGUAGAUAUCGGGAGGAACACCAGUGGCGAAGGCGGCUUCCUGGCCUGUUCUUGACGCUGAGGCGCGAAAGCUAGGGGAGCAAACGGG